rnacentral:lncRNA from 1 species
UUGGGGCCUCUAGCUGCCCUCCUUCUGCCAAGGAGUAUUUUAAUUUGAGGAAAAUAGUUGCACAGCAUCAAAUCCAUUAUUGAAUAGAGAACAGUAAUAACAGAAUAAAGAACUCAGUCAUACAAAAAAGGCAGUGAAAAACAUGGCAGGCACAUAGAAAAGUGCACAGACCUAGGUGCUGGAAGGAGGAUCGAUGAACUCUUUUAGAAGUGACCUAUUUUGGAAAUGACCCAGAUAUGUGUAAGGGGAACUUAACUAAGCAAAGAGGAGAGAAACAUGAAUUUGUAAAUUGGUAAGAGUAUAUAAAUGGUACAAUUAGGUAUAAAUUACUCUGAUUUAGUAGACUGUGAGGACAAGUUUGUUUUCAGCAACAAGAACUUUGAAAAACCAUUGAAGUGUUUAGGCUAGAAAAGAGACAUGGUUUCUUACAAUCUGAAAAGUUCUUGCUGUGAGAACUAGAUCUCUUGCCUAGAUGUGUGUCUGUGUUUGUGUGUGUCUGGGUGCACGUGCCUAUGUUUAAAGAACUCUUUAGAGUUAAUAGCAUUCUUACUGUUUUCAUUAUUUGAUUGUUUUCAAUUAUUUCUUCAGUUAUUUUCUUUUAUGCUGUGUAUAUUCAACUUUUCAUCAUUUUUUCUGAUUGAAUGACAUAAUUUUAGUAGUGAAAGGCUAUGAAUAUUCUUAGUUUUUAUCUGUGAAAGUCUUAUUUGCUUUUUUGUUACUUAUAAAGUGGAAUACUAUUUUUACUGAUGAAAUAGGAGUUAGGAUUAAAAAGGAUGGUUAUUUUGCAACCAGUACUGUACAUUAUUACUUCAUUAUAGUUGUUAGGUUGGUUAUGAGAACAAAUGUAUACUUAUAUCUGCUGCUAUGGUUACUCUUGGAUCUGUGCUGUAGAUAGUACUUGUAUCUGUUGUUAUACUCCAUUUUUGUAAAAUACAUAAACGUGGUCACAAUACUUUUGGUAAGCCACAUGUAGUUUAACAUAUUUUAAAGCAAUAUCUGAAGUAGACAUUUACGGUUUGGUAGUUGUACCUUUAUAUUUUCUUUCUUCCUUAGAGUUUCUGUGGAGCAUUUGUUGCAGCACUUGCUAUACACUUGGGUAGAGCUAUUUCUAUGCCACAGAAAGAUUGCUAGUAGUAGCUGCUUCUAGAGAACACCAGUAGAAAGCAGCUUGGAAAAACAAGCAGAUAUUUUAAACUUUGUCCUUGUUAUAUGAAUCAUAAAUUUUUAUUAUGUUUAUGCCAAAAUUACAAAGGUUUUUCUUUGUAAUAAAUAAUCAUCUGAAAGUUAUUAACCAUGUAUGCCAGUGGUUAGUGACAAAGCCUGAGAGUUAAAGGACUAGUGGAGGUAUUUGUGUGUGUUCUGAGGUAUGGUUUCUCUGGUACUUACCCUUCAAUGUCGUAGGAGCCAUCUCUAACCUCUGGUCUUUACAUUCAUGCCUGGAUUCACAAAAUAAAGACUCUGAGACUUCUUAUAUAUGAAUAAAUAUCUAGGCUAAUAGCCUUGGCUCAUUUCUGCUACCUUGUAACUCAUUGACCCAUUUAAAGUAGUCUAAGUUAAAGGUGGCUGGUUACCUAGUCCUCAGCUUCAUGUGACUUUCUUUCUCUGUGUCUGGACAAAUCUCCCUUCACUUCUUCACUCAAUCUCAGAAUUCCUUUCUGUCUACCAGAUGUCUCAUCUUCUAAUCCUGCCUUAACUCCUUGGCCAAUCAGCUUAUAUUGACAAGUGAAUGCUUUUACACAGUGCACAAGAAAUUGUUUCUACACUUCAAGAUGCAGAGAAUGUAUGAGUUUAAAUUCUGAUUUGAUGCUAGCAUUGGAUCUUGAGCAGGUUAUUUCACUUAUGCUAACAUCAUUGAGAUCCAUAUCACCCAGACAUUUUAGAAUUAGAAGAUAUUGCAUUCAUAAUACUUAAUAUACAGUCAGUUCAAAAAAAUGAUACUUUUAAACUAUCCUGCUUCUGUUUGCAUUUUAUAUCUCUCUCAAAUUCAUGUAGUUAUGCUUUCAGAUUGAAGAAUAUCCUUAAUCACAAGUUAAUAAUGGCAGAGUUUUAUAUUUUAUAUUGUCCAUGCUUCUAAGAUUGACUUGAAUUGGCACAUGCAGUAUUAGAUAUCUAAAGACUAAAAGGGUGGAAGAUUAUUAAGAAUAUCAUAGAGUCCUAAUUUUGUUCACUAAAUUAUUCUUUUACUUCCUGGUGUCCAAGGGGGAAACAAGAUAAUCCUAAAAAGAUAAAAUGAUGGUUUGUAAUAUUCUGACUGCUUAAAAAUCUAAUUUCUGCUUGUUCUUCACAUUCUCUCCAAAUUCUGUAAAUCAUUUCCUUCUUUGUAGAGAAGUUUUUUUCAUUGUAGUAGAUGAUGAAAGCCACCCAUAAUUUAGAUGUUGAAGGACCUGAAUUACUUUUUGGUCUUUUACCUGGAAUCAAGCAUAAAAUAUGAGAAAGUAUACUAUUGUCUUUUACCUCACUUUUAAGUUGCUAGUAUUUUAAAGGAAUUUGAUAUAUCUUUCUUCUUGAUUCUCAAAUCAUAUGAAAUGUCACAGAUAGUAGAGUUACUAGAGGUUUUGUGAAAGUGUCAUAGAAUCAGAGAAGGAAAUACUUUUAAUUUUAAAAAGAAAUAUUCAAGAAAACCUUCUUAGGAAGUGAAAUUAAAUUGUUCCUUCAAACAUUACUUACACUAGGGAGAAGUAUAUGGAUUUUAUGCCAUAUAUAAUGUUCACAGUCCUUUCUGUGAUUUAGUUGAAUUUUACUAUUGAGUUUUGAGAGGACUGUACAAAGUAUAGAUACGGCUUCUUUGCUAAACAUGUUCUUUGUAAGUGUUUUCCCUUAGUAUGUAGGUUUAUUACUACAUUUGUGUAUCUAGAUAAGGCACAUAGUCAUGUUCUAAUAACCCUUUUCCAUUCUCCUUCCACCUCAUUCUUCUCUGUUCGUACACUCUUUAAUCAUUCUUUUAUUUUUAUUUUGUAUCCCUUUUCUCCCUGUCCUCUACCCUAAAAUCCACAUUCCAGAGCAUAAUCCUUCAGUUCCUGAAAAUAACUUUAUCCUACUUUUUUAGCAGAGUGAGUGUGUGUGUGUGUGUGUGUGUGUGUGUGUCCAUGCAUGCACAUUCAAUUACAUGUAUACAUGUAUACGUGUGCUUGUCCUUUUAGAGGAUAUAGUGUUAUUGAAGAAGACUUUAUUGCUCUCCACUUUAUUUACUGAGGCAGGGUUUCUUGCUGAACCCAGAGCUCAUUGAUUCCUGCUGCUUUAGCUACACAGCUUGCCUACGAGUCUUGUGUCUAUUCUCUUAAGUUCUGUUUCGGUAGUCUCUUGCUUGCCUGGCAUUUAUAUGGGAUCUGGGGAUCUGUACUAUGGCUUUAUCGCCUGAGCCCUCACCACAGUUCCAUCUUAUUCUUUUUCGGUGUCUGAAUACAGUUUCAUCAUGUACAUGUAUCACGUUUUCAUUCUCCUAAUCCAUUCUUGGUUACCUUGGCUGCUGGUUCAGUAUUUUUGCUAUUGUGAAUAGUGCUAGGAUGGACAUAGAUGAUAGCUACGUGACAGGGUUAUAGCAAUCUGACUUUGAUACUUUUGGAUACUUUUCAUAUCCCAAAAGGGUGUAAUUUGAUCAUAUAGUUGCUUUAGUUUUAAUUUUUUUUAAAUGUUUUUAGUGCUGUACUAUUCACAAUAAUCAAAAUUUGGAGCCAUCUUUGAUGCCCUAAGGGAAUGAAGU